rnacentral:rRNA from 1 species
UGGGGAAUAUUGGGCAAUGGGCGAAAGCCUGACCCAGCGACGCCGCGUGUCGGAAGAAGUCCUUCGGGAUGUAAACGACUUUUGGUGGAGACGAAAACACAGCUCAGGGAAUGGGGCUGCUAUGACGGUAUCCAUGGAAUAAGCCCCGGCUAACUACGUGCCAGCAGCCGCGGUAAGACGUAGGGGGCGAGCGUUACCCGGAAUUACUGGGCGUAAAGGGAGCGUAGGCGGGAAAAGAAGUCCGGUGUGAAAGACCCUGGCUCAACCAGGGAGACGCGCCGGAAACCAAAUUUCUUGAGGGUAGCAGAGGAAGAGGGAAUUACCGGUGUAGGGGUGAAAUCCGUAGAGACCGGUAAGAAGGCCGGUGGCGAAGGCGCUCUUCUGGGCUAUCACUGACGCUGAGGCUCGAAAGCCAGGGGAGCAAACCGG